UAAUGGUUGAAGAUAUGCCAAACAAAUUGUGACUCUCUAUACAGACAGAUUUCAGGUCUCAAUUUCGACUUCAAAGGUCAACAUAUCACUGAUAUCAGGAAUUCUGUACAACUGUGGAACCAUGUAUGGUACGUGACCGCACAAUGUUGGUUGGCAAAAGGAUAUUGGAAUAAGCAAAGGGACUCAACAUUACACAGUCAUUUCAACAUGUAGAGUCUUGUCAGCAAUGAUGGAGCAGUACUUCAGAUUUCCAGAAUCUCGUCAUGAGCUGAAGAUCAUUGCCUAUGAAUUUCAUGAAUGAUGUAGAAUGAUUGGACUGUUGAUGGAACCCACAGUGCAUGUCCUGCUUCAACAUCUGAGCAUAGGUCCUUGUUUAUCAGCAGUUUAGUUCUUCAAGCAGUCUGUGACAGUUACUUGAAAUGUUUGGACAUAUGACCUGGAUGGCCAAGUUCUGUGCAUGAUGCCCAUUUAAAUAGGAACGGCCCAGUGGCGCAUUAAAUGGACAUUUUUCGAAUGUUCUCGAGGAUUCAGCUUACCGCCUGACAAGAAAUCUUGCUUUUUGUUCAGUAUCGAGGCCAUGGACAUUUGUAUCAUUUGCAAAAGAUAC